UUCUUUUUAUACUGCUUUGAUACUGUGAAAGUUUUGAAUUAGUCAUAAUACUUGGUAUGUUGGUCCUUACAUGGCCUGCUUGUAUUUUUUUUCUAUCAAUUAAUUAAUUAAUUAUUUUGGGCUGCAUUGGGCCUUUGUUGCUACGCAAGGCUUUCUUUAGUUGCGGGGAGCGGGGGCUACUCUUCGUUACCGUGCAUGGGCUUCUCAUUGUGGUGGCUUCUCUUGUUGCGGAGCACUGGCUCUAGGCAUGUGGGCUUCACUAGUUGUGGCACACAGGCUUCAGUAGUUGUGGCUCGCAGGCUCUAGAGCACAGGCUCAGUAGUUGUGGCGCAUGGGCUUAGUUGCUCAGCGGCAUGUGGGAUCUUCCUGGGCCAGGGCUCGAACCCAUGUCCCCUGCAUUGUCAGGUGGAUUCUUAACCACUGCGACACGAGGGAAGCCCCGGCCUGCUUGUAUUAAUGCGACCUUGCCACCUAAACCAAAGGUAGAAUCCUGACAAAACCUACAUCUGACCAUAAGGAAAACUCACCAAUCCAUCCUCCUCUCAGGAGUUUCUCUUGAGUAUACACCUAGAAGUGGGAUUACUGGGCUGCAGAGUCUGUGAUGUUCUUCUUUAGAAGGUAAGGCCACACUGCUUUCCAGCAUGGUCAUACCAGCUCACGUUCCCACCAGUGAUGUAUAAGGGAUACUGUGGAUCCAUAUCUUCUUCAACACUUGAUAUUACCAGACUGUUCAUUUUUUCAAAUCAAAUGAAGAUAAGACUCCUGAGAUGGUCUCUUGCUUCUGGACUCUGACCAGAAGCCUGCUGGACCCUGCUCUCAAACUCAACGUGCCCUACACGUCCUGACGCUGCACCCUCCCAGGCUCCGGGGAUGCCUGUGGGGCUGCUCCAGGGACUCACUCUGGGUCACCAGGUGGCCAGCCUUCUCUCUCUAGGUGCUUGGCUUUUCCAGGUUUUGUCUGUUUAUCUGAAGAUUUUGAUUAUUUCUUCUGACCUAUAUUCAGUCAAUGGGUUCUCUCUAUUAAACCUUCCCAUGGAGUUCUCAAUUUCAGUUA